rnacentral:rRNA from 1 species
CCUACGGGAGGCAGCAGUAGGGAAUAUUGGGCAAUGGAGGCAACUCUGACCCAGCCAUGCCGCGUGCAGGAUGAAGGCGUUAUGCGUUGUAAACUGCUUUUAUAUAGGAAGAAAGAGUUCUUGCGAGAACAGUUGACGGUACUAUAUGAAUAAGCACCGGCUAACUCCGUGCCAGCAGCCGCGGUAAUACGGAGGGUGCAAGCGUUGUCCGGAUUUAUUGGGUUUAAAGGGUGCGUAGGCGGUUUAUUAAGUCAGUGGUGAAAGACGGUCGCUCAACGAUUGCAGUGCCAUUGAUACUGGUAGACUUGAGUGAGAUUGAGGUAGCUGGAAUGGAUAGUGUAGCGGUGAAAUGCAUAGAUAUUAUCCAGAACACCAAUUGCGUAGGCAAGUUACUAAGUCUCAACUGACGCUGAGGCACGAAAGUGUGGGGUAUCAAACAGGAUUAGAUACCCUGGUAGUCCACACUGUAAACGAUGAUAACUAACUGUUGGCUUUCGGGUCAGUGGUACAGAGAAAUCGUUAAGUUAUCCACCUGGGGAGUACGCCGGCAACGGUGAAACUCAAAUGAAUUGACCGG